GCGCCUAUAGCUCAGUUGGUAGAGCAGCUGACUCUUAAUCAGCGGGUCCACAGGUUCGAGUCCUGUGUGGGCGCACCA
rnacentral:tRNA from 1 species